rnacentral:rRNA from 1 species
AAACCAGCACCUCAAGUGGUCAGGAUGAUUAUUGGGCCUAAAGCAUCCGUAGCCGGCUCUGUAAGUUUUCGGUUAAAUCUGUACGCUUAACGUACAGGCUGCCGGGAAUACUGCAGAGCUAGGGAGUGGGAGAGGUAGACGGUACUCGGGAGGAAGUGGUAAAAUGCUUUGAUCUCUCGAUGACCACCUGUGGCGAAGGCGGUCUACCAGAACACGUCCGACGGUGAGGGAUGAAAGCUGGGGGAGCAAACCGGAUUAGAAACCCCUGUAGUCC